GCAGCAGUGGGGAAUUUUGGACAAUGGGCGAAAGCCUGAUCCAGCCAUACCGCGUGGGUGAAGAAGGCCUUCGGGUUGUAAACUGCUUUUGUACGGAACGAAAAGACUCCUUCUAAUAAAGGGGGUUCAUGACGGUACCGUAAGAAUAAGCACCGGCUAACUACGUGCCAGCAG
rnacentral:rRNA from 1 species